AAAUGACUUGAUUCAAAAUGUCAUCUCAUACUUACAUGGGAAAAUAUAAAUAGAAGUCAGCUUGGAGUCUUCUGUAGUUAGUUUCGUAUGAAUAGAAAGAUGAAGCUUGUAUUUCUGCUACUUGCUGUUUUGACUUGUGUCACAGCACAAAAUGAAUUAACUAAUUUAAUCAACAAUGAGGUCUGGUCUCUGGUUGAACAAAACCCACACUUGCUAAUCUCUGAGUGUACACAGCAAUGUGAUGCCCUCUUCGACAUGGUGAACCCAGAGGAUGAAGUUAGAACAGAUCAAAUCUGUUACAAUGCAUGCAAUUGUAAGCUGACUGAAGGAUGUGAGCAAGGAACUAAUGACUGAACUAAUUCCUCAUGCUGUAAUGCAUUAUACCAAUCUGUACAAACUUUGUAUUUAGUAAUAAUAAAAAUAUCUUUGAAAAAUAA